ensembl:lncRNA
GGAUCACGUCGCAGGGCGUGGCGGAGAACCGAAGGCCCCGGGGCCACAGAUGUGUGACCCAGUGUCUGAGGGUUCGGGUGGGGCGGCCAUGCCCGCCUCAGUCUCCGUGCCCCGCGGACACGAGGAACGCAACAGGCCGCGUCAGCGUGCUGAUCAAAAGAUCCUAUAAAAAACAACAAAUGAGAAUCCAGUCUGACGGAAGUGGAGGGUCAAAGUCCGUGCUAGCUGUCGGUGUAAUUGUCCAACUGGGCGUGGAGGGUGCUCCGUCAGGUGAGUCAUGUGUUCAGGACCAGGGAAUGGAAACCUUUUGAAGGUGUCGGAAAGACAAAAAGCUCCGAGUGAUAACCCAACACCAGACUGUUUACCGACGGCCUUGAGCUAAUCUACGCCGUGUUUACCGACCAGUACCUGACUAAUGCUUACCGGCAUUAGUCUAGCACCCAUGGGUGCUGCCGGAUCGCUCCAACUGGACCACGGGUGAGGCAGAGGUCCCGCUGGGGCGACUGAUCCAACCAGAGCCCGAAACGACCAAACCAGACGGUGGCUGCCAAACUACAAAGCGUGGUGUUGAGGCCUGGCUGGGUAAACACUGGGUGCCCACCCAGCCAGACUUGGAGUGGUCACCGAACCACUGGUUUCCCUUAUCCGACUGUAGAUGGCAGACAAGCUGAAGUCUGGAUGAAAACGCAGUUUCACCCCCAUCACUUCAUAUUUGUUUGGCCCAAUCAUGUCUCUGGAGGCCAGUCGCUCUGGUCGUCCAUUUGUAGACCAAACCAGACCGGACCAGACGGCCGCCGCCGAGCCUGGGCCUUCAGGUCAACCAUGGUCACCCAAAGUUCACCAGACCAGACCUGGGAGCGCAGGAAAGGGUGAGGGGCGGGGGGCGGGGUGGGGGUAGAACCGCCACCCAGAUCACCAAGCAGGACAGACCUGAUUCGGGGACCCCGGCAACAAAGACGUCUGUUGUGUUGGGGUCGGAGCGGGCCGCUGAGAGCCGGCCGUUGUGCGGACCUUAUGGAAAUGAGGAUGGAAACGUCUGGACGUCCCAGAACAACGCAACACUGUGGACCGUCCUGCCAGCCGCCACGCAACACGCCGUUUCCUGUGUGUGUGUGUGUGUGUAUGUGUGUGUGCGACUGAAUCACAUGUGAGUCACAUGUGUUAUUGUGUGUCAAGUGUGAUUGUGUGUGUGCGUGUUUGCACAUGCGUGCGUGGGUAUGAUUGGGUGUGUGCGUGUAUAAGAUUGUAGGUGUGUGAGUGUGUGUCUGUGAUUAUCCGUUUUAUAAUUGUGUGUAUGUGCUUGAAAAAACAGCGUGUGUGUGCAAACAAGUGCGUCGAUUAUUGUGUACAUAGAGUGUGCCUAAAAGAUAUAUAAAAAAAUGACAGGAUGUUUUCUCUCUUUUAAUUCCUUCUGGGCUUCAUUAUUUUGUAUAAACUAUAUCUAUCUUGCAGAAUAUGUACAUAUUAAGGCUUUUAUUAAAAGAUACGUUAAAUGAUAUCUAUUUCAUUGUUAAUGGUUCAGGGCUGGUUGAAUGUGGGUGUGUGUGUGUGUGUGUGUGUGUGUGUGUGUGUGUGUGUGUGUGUGUGUGUGUGUGUGUGUGUGUGUGUAUAA